rnacentral:rRNA from 1 species
AACGAACGCUGGCGGCAUGCCUAACACAUGCAAGUCGAACGAGACCUUCGGGUCUAGUGGCGCACGGGUGCGUAACGCGUGGGAACCUGCCCUUAGGUUCGGAAUAACUCCCCGAAAGGGGUGCUAAUACCGGAUAAUGUCUUCGGACCAAAGAUUUAUCGCCUUUGGAUGGGCCCGCGUUGGAUUAGCUAGUUGGUAGGGUAAAAGCCUACCAAGGCGACGAUCCAUAGCUGGUCUGAGAGGAUGAUCAGCCACACUGGGACUGAGACACGGCCCAGACUCCUACGGGAGGGAGCAGGGGGGGAUAUUGGAACAUGGGCGAAAGCCUGAUCCAGCCAUGCCGCGGGAGUUAUGAAGGCCUUAGGGUUGUAAAGCUCUUUUACCCGGGAUGAUAAUGACAGUACCGGGAGAAUAAGCUCCGGCUAACUCCGUG